GCCAUUUAGUUUCCUUCAGAUCAUUUCUAUUGAAUUGCUUCAGUUCAUCACUACCACCCACCGUAAGCCCUAACUUUCAAAAUCAACCCAAACAGUGACACAAACGGCAGCAGGUCUUGUUUGCGGUGCUGUCCACCCCAACUGGCGACGGCGCGGUGCUCCCUUUCAUAGGCGUCGGCACAUUGCUCUCCUCCAUGGGCGUCGGCGCGGUGCUCUCCUUCGCGGUCAUCUUCUCCACGCAUGCUUCUCCAGGCAUGCUGCUCCACAGCUUCUCCUCCUCCUGUCUCGGCUCAACGUACGUGGUCACAUUCGAGAAACCCCCUUCCUUCCUCUUUUUCCCCUGUCUCGCCUCCUCCUCUUUGCAAGCUCUGACAACACUACAUGCAGCUGUAACCCCCUUCCUCCUCCUCCGCGUAUUGGUGCCAAAGGCUCAACUAGCACAGUAGAACUACAUCUUGGUUGUUGGAGAGCAGGAAGCAGAAACUGGACAGGUGCUUCUUAUUUUCACUUUGGAUGCUGCAUUAACAGUUCUCACUUUUAGAAACUACAAAACCGUAGCAAACCCUGUUCCAUUGGUGAGCUCUAACGCAUUCUGGUGACCACCCCUCCACUGCUCUAUUGCUCCGGUGACACUACAAUGCAGCUACAACCUCCUCUCCCCUGCCUUCUUAUUUCUCUAUUCUUCAGUUUUCAGGUUUUUGCAAAAUCUCGUUUUGAUAUUCUCCAUUUUAAUUCAUUACAGUUUAGUUAGGGUUUAAUUCUUACUUAGUAAUUUUAUUUAGUCAAACUAGUUUUUGCUGAUUAGGUUAAUUUAGAUUAAAAUUAGGAUUCUCUUAUGAGCAUUUAUCUUAGUUCAUAGGUAAUUAAGCAUGCUAUUAUGAUUCUUAGAUCUAGAAUUUCAAUUCGUUUGGGCUGGCUUGAUUGAUUUUCUGGUUCUCCUUGGCUUCUCCAUUAAGGUGCGCUUCAAAUUUAGCUGAAAUAUGGAGUCAGAGGGAAAUUAGAUACCCCUUUUAAUGCUGUGGGAUACAUAGACAGAGAGGUGCUUGGAAUCAACCACAUGUAUAAGCAUCCAGCUUGGAAGAGAAUUCUAAGGCUUACUGCCUUUUUCUUAGGCUUGCACCGAGAAAUCACCUUUUGAAGUGCCAUUUAGGAAAAAUGCUCCCUCAUGGUGUUAUGCUCCUUUUGAGUCAGAAGGAAUUCUAAGGUGUGCUUACUCUUCCAGUUAUGUGAUUUUUUCCAUAGGAUCAUCCUUUAAGAUUGAAGCACUAGAUUCUCCUGGGUUUAUCUCUUCUUACUUUGGGACUUAUUCUUCACUUCACUGAUGAUGAACUCUAAUUAACCAAGUGUUCAGCUGGAAUAUCUUUACUAUAUAUUCUAACCACUCACAUGAUACUUCCUUCUGCGUCGCAGCCACUCCUUUGAAUAAGAAACGGUAUACACUAAGCUAUGUUUGAUAAACAUCUGGAGUAGCAACAUUUUCAGCCUUUUAUACAAUGAUAUUAUUAUAUACUAUGAAAGUUCUAGUUGCCAUUGUAUCAUGAUAGUGAUAGAUAAAUCUUGUACAUUGGAUUAUUGCAUUGCAUGUUGAUAUUUGGAGCUUGAAACUAUGGUCCAUGCCUUUGAAAUGGAUUGGCAUGAAUGCCAUGUUUGUGUAUGUUAUGGCAGCCGAGGGUAUCAAAGGUAAGAUUCUUAAGUAGGUAAUCAAAAGAGUGGUGGUUGCUUCUUAAUAUACUGAAGCCCUUAAAAAAAUUUAUUUACUUGCAAAUAAAUACAGUUGCACAUAAUGACGGUCACCACAUUACAUUGAAAAAAAAACUUAUAUUAAAAGAUGCUAUUUCUGGCCUUUCUCUGGUAUAUUUUAAUUUUUUAUUCAUUCUUUUAUUGUCUUUAUGUUUUAUGAUAAUUUGGUUGUUGAUGAAUGUUAUUAACCUAUUAGGAUUGAGAAUGAUGAUUAUGCUUUAACUUGUUUGGUCCUUAUAUUGUGUUACGUUUACACUAUAUAGUUGUUUUCUUUAGUAUUGAUGAAUAUGGUUUUAUUCUUUUAUUGGUAUUUUAUAUGAUAUGAAGAUGUUUAGCUUAAUAGGUUACUUAAUUGUUGUUUGGUCACUGGUGAGUAUGGUUGGACUGCAAACAUGGAGAGGAUUAUGAAGGCACAGGCCUUGAGAGAUAACGGCAUGACUGGCUACAUAUCUAGUAAGAAGACUAUGGAGAUCAACUCUGACAUACAUCCGCAUUAUGAAAGAACUGAUGAAGAGAACGGAAGAUGAUGAAAUUAGGCAUUUAUUUGUUUUUUUUUUGUUGAAGUUCAUGAGAAAAUAUGUAUUUUUUUUUGUUUAGUCAUGUGUAUUUUGAUUUGAAUUGGCAAUUGCAAGUAUAUAUGUCAUUAAAAUUUACGUAGUUG